UACGAAGGGUGCAAGCGUUAAUCGGAAUUACUGGGCGUAAAGCGCGCGUAGGUGGUUCAGUAAGUUGGAUGUGAAAUCCCCGGGCUCCACCUGGGAACUGCAUCCAAAACUGCUGAGCUAGAGUACGGUAGAGGGUGGUGGAAUUUCCUGUGUAGCGGUGAAAUGCGUAGAUAUAGGAAGGAACACCAGUGGCGAAGGCGACCACCUGGACUGAUACUGACACUGAGGUGCGAAAGCGUGGGGAGCAAACAGG
rnacentral:rRNA from 1 species